ACGGGGUGCAGCAGGCGCGAAACCUUCACAAUGCGCGAAAGCGUGAUGAGGGGAUCCCAAGCGCCCUUGUACAGCAAGGGCUUUUCUAGAGUGUAGAUAGCUCUAUGAAUAAGAGCUGGUCAAGACCAGUGCCAGCCUCCGCGGUAACACUGGCAGCUCGAGUGGUGGUCGCUAUUAUUGGGCUUAAAGCAUCCGUAGCCGGUUUAGUAAGUCCUCUGUGAAAUCCUGCCGCUUAACGGUAGGGCUUGCGGAGGAUACUACUAAGCUAGGAGCCGGGAGGGGUCGGGGGUAUUCCUAGGGUAGCGGUGAAAUGCGAUAAUCCUAGGAAGACCACCGAUGGCGAAGGCGCUUGGCUAGAACGGAUCCGACGGUGAGGGACGAAAGCUAGGGGAUCAAAGCGGAUUAGAUACCCGCGUAGUCCUAGCUGUAAACGAUACCCACUAAACAUUGGCAACCUCAAGGGGGUUGCCAGAGUUGCAGGGAAACCGUUAAGUGGGUCACCUGGGGAGUACGGCCGCAAGGCUGAAACUUAAGGGAAUUGGCGGGGGAGUACACAAGGGGUGGAGGCUGCGGUUUAAUUGGAUCUAACGCCAGAAACCUUACCAGAGGCGACAGCAGAAUGAAGGUCAGAUUGAAGGUCUUACCAGACACGCUGAGAAGUGGUGCAUGGCCGUCUUCAGUUCGUGUCGUGAGAUGUCCUGUUAAGUCAGGUAACGAACAAGACCCGCGCCCUAUGUUGCUAUCUUUUCAUCUGANAAGAGCACUCAUAGGGGAUCGCUGUUGAUAA
rnacentral:rRNA from 1 species